CUGAAGUCUUGAGUGUUUCCUGACAUGCUCAUGGUGGGAAUAAAGUAUGGCACACGUCAGCCACACAUAAGGACACAGCCCAUGUAUCAACACAUCUAGAAACUUUUGGCAACACUAAUAUCGAAGCUUUAUUACUACAACACUACAAGACUACUUUCUGUAUUUCCAAUGUACUGUAGUUUAGUAAUCCAUGUUUUUUCUUUAGAUUUCACAUCAUUAGAUUUGUAGGGUGCCAGAGCAGUGUUUGUAGAGGCCUGACUUGUUUAUGCUCUUAUCUGCUUUGCCACUGGAGGAGGCGUGGCUAUCUCUAAGUCCAACCGCUGGGAGUGGUUGAGUGUGGAGAACAAAACGAGAGCCACACCGACAGCCAGAAACAACAGAAGAGGUCUUUGAAAGCAGCACAUUCAGGCUUCAAUCUGACCUCGAAGACACGAGCAAACCUGCUUCUGUUUAUGAGUCACACAAUAGUGCGCUGACCUGGCAGAUCUACUUAUCCACAUGACCCUUGACCCCUGACCCUGGGUCACAUCUGCUUGAUUAUGACCUCAAAUGUGACCAGAGCUUCAGGGCCGCCCCAGGACAGCGUGGCAUCGUUGACUGACCUGUGAAUGUUGGGCCAGGACAAUCUGCAGCAGUGUGUCAGGUGUCAUCAUCCAUUGAGGAAACCAGGGCUGAGGUUACAGUUGUGCAGGACGUGGUGGACAGCACAGACAGAGAGGCGCGUUCUUUACUGGACCAGAUGGGUGGCUCACUGAGAGAUGGAGUGUUUGAGGUUCAGUGUGAACUCAUAAACAGGAGAGAAGAGGCCUCUCUGAAAGCUCUGAUAGAUGGUCUUCAGAAAGGAAAGCCCCCGGUGAUCAGUGGAAUGGAGAGGAGUCAGGUUCUGCAAGAACACAGAGUGACCGAGGACCAGGUGACCUGCCUGCUCCACAUGGUGAGGAGGAAAGGGGAACGGGCCUGUGAGAUAUUCCUCUACGGUGAGCUUGGUUUUGAAACAACUCUGUGAUCGAUGAGAGUCCAGUUUAGUGGCCGACCAGAACCGUUGGUUCUAACGUAUGGUUGGGAUAUCGUUGUGUGAAUGUGAUGUGAACCGGAUGCCACAAAAGAUGUGCAUUAAAUGCUGUUCUAAACCAAAUGGAGCUGUGUCUUUGUUUAAGCUGAGUGCCACAAGUGGUGCUAUAGUCUACUUUGAGGAAUGACAGCUCAAUCACUAGCUGUCCAACCAGUUUGUUUUAAGAUGUUGCCUUUUCGAAAUCAUCUGGUUGACACAUUUUUUUUUUUUUUACAUAAUGCCACAGGGUAGUGAGCACAAGUUCAUAGUGCCAAACACGCAUGCUCACUGCACUGUCCUCACUUAGUGUGAGAUUAACACGCAUGCUCACUGCACUGUCCUCACUUAGUGUGAGAUUAACACGCAUGCUCACUGCACUAAUCAUAGUGUGUUCACAUAGCCUACUCAGUACAACGAUUAGUAUUAUAUCACACUAAGGACAGCAUGUGUGGUACUUUCACUGUACACAGUGGUGUAGAUUUAAGCAAUGUUUACCCAGUUCCAUUGACUGUAUUUUAUUACUUUUACUUUGUUUAUAUUUGCUGUGUAAGCCUAUAUUUAUUAUAUAGACAUUGUUGCUUCACCUUACACAAUAUAUUAUUUUAUAUCAUGUUGUUUCUCCUUUUUUACAAAAAACCCAGAGAACACCCAGAUGUCUCUGCUACGGUUUCUUUGCUGGGUGUCAGAUAGGCUUCACACACAUGGCAUUAUUCCCUUGAUUUCAACACUAAUGUCACAUCUUUCUUAAAGCAUAGGCCUAUAUUUCACAGCACUUCAAGAGAGAUUCCUUUUAUACAAUUUCAUGAAUUGAUUCAAAAUAGUUAUAAUAAUAAUAAUAAUAAUACUUUAACUUUAUAUAGCGCUUUUCUAGGUGCUCAAAGACGCUUUACAUAGGGCGAAGAAAAACAAAACAAAGAGAACACAAAAGAGCAAACAAACAAACAAACAGAAC
ensembl:lncRNA